UGAGUAAUGUCUGGGAAACUGCCUGAUGGAGGGGGAUAACUACUGGAAACGGUAGCUAAUACCGCAUAACGUCGCAAGACCAAAGAGGGGGACCUUCGGGCCUCUUGCCAUCAGAUGUGCCCAGAUGGGAUUAGCUAGUAGGUGGGGUAAUGGCUCACCUAGGCGACGAUCCCUAGCUGGUCUGAGAGGAUGACCAGCCACACUGGAACUGAGACACGGUCCAGACUCCUACGGGAGGCAGCAGUGGGGAAUAUUGCACAAUGGGCGCAAGCCUGAUGCAGCCAUGCCGCGUGUAUGAAGAAGGCCUUCGGGUUGUAAGUACUUUCAGCGGGGAGGAAGGUGUUGAGGUUAAUAACCUCAGCAAUUGACGUUACCCGCAUACCACACACCAGCUAACGCUAUGCCAUGCCCCAGCGCAGUAAUGAGGGUGGUGCAGCGUUACUCGGAAUUACUGGGCGUAAGCGCACGCAGCGGUCUUGUCAGUCGGAUGUGGAAUCAUCGGCGGG
rnacentral:rRNA from 1 species